rnacentral:lncRNA from 1 species
CUGACUCUCGGAUAUUCCAGAGAGUUCUCUCAACUUCUCUCUCUUUCUCUCACUGUGUUCCUCAUUAUUUUCGCUUUCAAUCUGCACGUUUUCAUGGUAUCAGAGCGGGAUGAUCCUCGGAUCCUCCUCCGUUACUUGUUAUUGAUCGCGUUGGAAGUUUUAUUGAAGGUUGUUUUUUGGAUAUUUGUGAGAGAUUUUGUUACCGAGAGAACGAUGUAUAUUGAACGGAUAAUCGGAACUUUUACUACUGUUUAAUGCUUCGAUCUUCACUCAGUGGAUGUUUUGGGUGAUUUUCCGACAUCCUGACCUUUUUCCGGUGACUUUCCAGAUUCUAGGGUUUCUGGUGGUUGAACCUAGGGUUUUACUGCUGUCCGAUGGCUCGAUCCUCACUCGGUGGAUGUUUUGGGUGAUUUUUCGACGUCCCUGACCCUAUUCCGG